rnacentral:rRNA from 1 species
UACGUAGGUGACCAGCGUUGUCCGGAUUUACUGGGCGUAAAGAGCGCGCAGGCGGUCGUUCAAGUCGAGUGUGAAAGCCCCCGGCUCAACUGGGGAGGGUCACUUGAUACUGAUCGACUCGAAGGCAGGAGAGGGAAGCGGAAUUCCCGGUGUAGUGGUGAAAUGCGUAGAUAAUCAGGAGGAACACCUAUGGCGAAGGCAGCUCGCUGGGACGGUACUGACGCUGGAGGCACGAACGAACGUGGGGAGCGAACAGG